UGCCUACGGGGGGCUGCAGUGGGGAAUAUUGGACAAUGGGCGAAAGCCUGAUCCAGCAAUGCCGCGUGAGUGAUGAAGGCCUUAGGGUUGUAAAGCUCUUUUACCCGGGAUGAUAAUGACAGUACCGGGAGAAUAAGCCCCGGCUAACUCCGUGCCAGCAGCCGCGGUAAUACGGAGGGGGCUAGCGUUGUUCGGAAUUACUGGGCGUAAAGCGCACGUAGGCGGCUAUUCAAGUCAGAGGUGAAAGCCCGGGGCUCAACCCCGGAACUGCCUUUGAAACUAGGUAGCUAGAAUUCUGGAGAGGUCAGUGGAAUUCCGAGUGUAGAGGUGAAAUUCGUAGAUAUUCGGAAGAACACCAGUGGCGAAGGCGACUGACUGGACAGAUAUUGACGCUGAGGUGCGAAAGCGUGGGGAGCAAACAGGAUUAGAUACCCCAGUAGUCCA
rnacentral:rRNA from 1 species